UUUAGUAAAUUAAAACAUAUGACUCAUCCAUUAACCCAGACAAAACAUAAUUGGCUAGAUGGUUAAAAGUUGAUGAAAUUAUCCUUAAAACUCGAGUUUGAUUCUCCCUUGUAGCAUAAUUUUUAUUUUGGCCUAAAACCCUAACUAUGUCAUCCCAUGUGGUAAAUCCCCUCUUCUCUUUUUUCUCAUCUUCCCCCAUUUUCUUUUCCUCUCUUUUUCAUUGUGUCGCCCCUAAGACCUAAUUUUAUUCCGUAUUCUUCUUCUUUAUUCCUAUGUUGUCGUCGCCCUAGUGAACAACCAUCGUUGUUGUCGCCGUCCAUUGGAAACCUCCCAUCCUCUCUUUAUUUUUUUGCUUCUUUAUUGUGGUACCAUUUAUUUUUGGUCCAUUAUUGCUGCCAUUUCGCACACCACUUCUGCCCCUUGAGGCCCCUCAAUCUCACUUCUUUUCUUCUUUAUUUGCUGUCGGUUUUGCACUUCUUUCAUCACACAUCUGAAUCUGGAGUGUAAGUUGAAGUUUGAAUUAGAUCUAGUAUUGUUUUUCCCUCUUCCUUGACUCCCUUUAAUGGCCGAAUCUAUCAGAGUUCAUGGUCGAAUCUCACAUGUGUUUUUUUUUUUUUUGUAUUUAUUUUUAUCAAGGUUCAGAUCCGAAUCACUUGGAUCAGCAGUAGCGCCAGAAGUUGCUUGCUCCACCCUUUAAAGUCAAAAUAGAGUAAGUAGUAAUCUCUAAAAUCAGAUCUGUAAAACCAAUCUUUUUCUCUAAUUUGGCGAACCCUUUAGGGUGAUUAACGGUUGAUUUCUAACAACUUUUCUUGUGUUAGGUACAAAUUUGAACUAGAUUUAGCUAGAUCUGAAACUUAGGACCUGUAGAUUAGCGAUAGUGCUUCUGUUUCGCGUUAAUCAGGUGUGGGUCCUAACUUUUUGUGUGUUAAUGAUUGUUGUAAGCAUGUGUAAGUGUUACUUUGGUGAUUGGCCGAUUAUAUAUGUGGUUUAAGUGCUAUGGCGGAAUGUUAUAGGGACUUAAGAUGUGUCUAUCCAAAUGUGUAAGUGCUAUAAAGAUUUAAGCUGAUUGUAUGAUUGCUGAAAUUGGUUGAAUUGCACUGUUAUUACUUGUAUUGUAGCAUGCUGAUUGUUAUUGUUAAAUUGAUUGCAUGUAAAACAUGCCAUUGACUGUUAUCGUAUAUUGUUUGCAUGUAAGUGUGGAAACUUUUUUUGGAAAUUGACUUUUUAUUUUAAAACGAAAAUGGAGUAGCCACCAAUCUUUUUUAUUAGGUGUGAUUGAAUUACCUCGAAACUUAAUCAUUUUAAUAAAAAAUCGUUAAAUUUACUAAAACGAUAAUUUUCAGUGUACAAAAUUCAGGAAGUGGGUUCGGGAGUCGAUUACGUAUGAGGAAUAAUUAGCACCCUCAUAACGCCCCAAAUUGAUACCUAGUAGAUUACUUGAUGUCUCAGUGUCGAGAAUUGAGAAUUCAAAGAAAAUUUAAAAUGCGAAACCCUUCUUGCAUGAUUUUGAUUAAAAUAUCGCUAGCUAAAUUAAAUUUUAUGGAAAGAGCCUUCUUAUUUCAAGUUAAUUAAGAAAAAAUGAUCAUAUUCCGUAAGUUAGGGUACGAUAUCUCGAAUCCUCGAAAAUAAGAAUACUCGUCAUUUGAUUAUUACCUAAGUCCUAUGUGUCUUGAAUUUUAAAUAAGAUGUUUGAUUAUUUCGGUUCUAGAAAGAUGUCAUAUUCCGUAAGUUAGGAGCACGACUCCUCGAAUCUCAAAAAUAAUGAACAUUGCCUUGGUUUUAAUUACUUCUUAUGCGUCGUGUAAAAACAAAUGCACCACUUAAUAUGAGAUGCAAUUGAGCGUAGUACGGAAAUAAAUAAAUGUAUCUAAGCAUAAUAGAUAAUAUGGUAAUGACUAAAAUAAAAUAAAAUAACUACACGAGUAAAUAAAUAAUAAAUAAUAAAUAAAAUAAAAAAUUUCGAAAUGACCAUAGUAAAAUAAUAAUAUAAGAACAAAUAACAGUGAUCACUAUAAUCAAAUAGUGAUAAUGCAACUAUAAUAACAACAACACAAAUAGAUGAUAAUAACAAUAAUAAUAACAAUUAUGACAUGGUUAAUAAUGAAAAAUAAUAAAUCAAAGAUAAAAGUAAAUAUUACUUAAUUUAAAGGGCAAAAAUGUAAAUAAUAAAAUUAAAAAUGCUAAAAACAAAAAUACACUAAAAAUAAAUGAGUUAAAUUAAAUAAAGGACU
rnacentral:lncRNA from 1 species